UGUAGAAUAAUGUUUGCAUAUUUGAUGCGCUUCAUGACACAUCAGUGUCUCAUAUGAUGCUAAUGGAUUAUACCCACAAAAUAUAUACUCUGUAACUUUUUCUAACCUUACGUUUAGGUAACCUACUGGUAUACAAUUGCAAGUAAUGAAUGAUUAAGUAACUAAAUAAGAAUUAGAUCAUUUAAAACACUACAAUUGACCAUCAUAAGCACCAACAUUAGUUGAACUGUUUGUAUAACUAUCAAGCUUUACUCUCUGUGCACCCUCCAUGCAUAUACUGUACAGUCUAGAGCAAUAACAAUGGCAGACAAGUCAUUUUUGAAACAACAUAUCCUUGAUAUGAGACAGUGGUAGAAAAAAGCAAACUUCUUAUUUCUCAAAAUGUUGUCAUUGAAAUGACAACUGUGGUUGGCAGCUUUUAUAUGCUUUGAAAAGCAAACAUUAAAGCAGACAUUAGCUCUAUGUGUUGGGUUAAAGCAUUGCUGCUGUUUUCAUUUUUCCACCUAACUGUUUUUAAAUGAGGACUAAAUAUGCCUUAAAUAAACACUUGAAGGCUACAUUACAUGAGAUCAUGCAGAUUUACCUUGGCAGAAUUUCCCAAGAAUAAUAAGGAAAAACGUAUUAAACGAUGUUAAUUCUAACAAAAACCUAUUCGGCUGCUUAUAACUUACAUGCUUGGACACGUUAGUUGUAUGCUUUAUUAUUGUUACACUUUUAACUUUACAAGAUGAAGAGGCAUUAAAGAUGAGGACUGUCUGAGUUUGGCUGAGGAAUGACUUCCAUGCAGUUUGAGAGGCCUGCUGUGCCUUAUGGUUUCUAUGGUCACACUGGACAACACUGUUCAGAGGAGGCCAAUGGUCAGUUUACACUGAAGCAUUACAGACUAACUGUUUUGGCAAAUUUAGUUAAUCUGAUACCUGAUGACCUGCAAGCACACACAAUGUUCAAUAGAGUGUGUGAUUAGGAGUCAAAUUAUCCACAGCAAAAGCUUUUGUGUUUAGUGACAAUGACUGUGUUAGUUUUAUGUGCAUCUACCUCUUUUCACUAUUACUCAUCUCUGCAGGGAGGACUACGACUGUAGCAGAUUCUCAUUUGGAGACCUUUAGGAAACAAGCUGCGUGCCUCCAGCUUCACGAGCUUCCAAUGUUCCACUAUGACACGAACAAAGAGCUGUGUCCUGAAUAGAAGAGAAGUCAGACUCUACAAGAAAUCAUCCUUUAUGUUUCCAUUCCAAUCAACAGAGCUCUUUACUAGGGCUAGGGAUUUUUAAGAAUAUGAACUUGCAUUUAUUGUAUUUGUAUUCAUAACUUGUUUUAAUCAUUUAUUAAUUCAUCAUUUGUAGUGCAAGAAAAUAAAGACAAACAUGUCCAGUG